UACGUAGGAUGCAAGCGUUGUCCGGAUUUACUGGGCGUAAAGCGCGCGCAGGCGGCUCUUUAAGUCUCAGGGUCAAAGACCGGGGCUCAACCCCGUGUUCGCCCGGGAUACUGGAGAGCUAGGGACAUGUAGGGGCGAGCGGAAUUUCCGGUGUAGCGGUGAAAUGCGUAGAUAUCGGAAGGAACACCAGUGGCGAAAGCGGCUUCCUGGUCCAGCACCGACGUCAGGCACGAAAGCCGUGGGGAGCAAACAGGG
rnacentral:rRNA from 1 species